rnacentral:lncRNA from 1 species
ACUAUUGACAAACUGGGUUAGAGAAGGAUUGUACUGCUAUGCUGUUGGCACGAACACCUUCAGGGAUUGGAGCUGCUUUUUUCCUUGGAAGAGUAUUCCCAGUUGAAGCUGAAAUGGUACAGCACAGUGCAGCUUUGGUUCAUACUCAGUCUUCUCAGGAGCACUUCAGAAGAGCUUGACUAGGCCAGAUGUUGAAGGAGCUUCAGAGCAAAGGAAGUGGCUUAAUGAUCCUGAAGGGAUUUCUUCCUGGUGGUAGCUUUUAUAUUAUCAAGUUUCUCUUCAUUAUCAGAAGAGUUGCUUCAUUUCAUCUGGGAGCAGAAAACAGCAGGCAGCUGUUAACAGUCUUUCAGAAACUUUGUCUGCGAGCACUCUUUAAUGGACAAGAUCAGGAAUUGAGCGGAAGAACGAAUUUAACUUUAAGAGGCUUCAUUUCAUCCUUCAUGAAGCUGUUCAGGAUUUUGACUUGCAUAUAA